rnacentral:tRNA from 1 species
GCCUGGGUGGCUCAGUCAGUUAAAGCUUCUGACUUUGGCUCAGGUUAUGAUCUUCCAGUCCAUGGGUUCCAGCCCCCUGUCAGGCU